UACGUAGGGGGCUAGCGUUGUCCGGAAUCAUUGGGCGUAAAGAGCGUGUAGGCGGCCCGGUAAGUCCGCUGUAAAAGUCAAAGGCUCAACCUUUGAAUGUCAGUGGAUACUGCCGGGCUAGAGUCCGGAAGAGGCGAGUGGAACUCCUGGUGUAGCGGUGGAAUGCGCAGAUAUCAGGAAGAACACCAACGGCGAAGGCAGCUCGCUGGGGACGGUACUGACGCUGAGACGCGAAAGCGUGGGGGAGCAAAACAGG
rnacentral:rRNA from 1 species